GUGAACGCUGGCGGUAGGCCUAACACAUGCCCGUCGAACGGCAGCACAGUAAGAGCUUGCUCUUACGGGUGGCGAGUGGCGGACGGGUGAGGAAUACAUCGGAAUCUACUUUUUCGUGGGGGAUAACGUAGGGAAACUUACGCUAAUACCGCAUACGACCUACGGGUGAAAGCAGGGGAUCUUCGGACCUUGCGCGAUUGGAUGAGCCGAUGUCGGAUUAGCUAGUUGGCGGGGUAAAGGCCCACCAAGGCGACGAUCCGUAGCUGGUCUGAGAGGAUGAUCAGCCACACUGGAACUGAGACACGGUCCAGACUCCUACGGGAGGCAGCAGUGGGGAAUAUUGGACAAUGGGCGCAAGCCUGAUCCAGCCAUACCGCGUGGGUGAAGAGGGCCUUCGGGUUGUAAAGCCCUUUUGUUGGGAAAGAAAAGCAGCAGGUUAAUACCCCGCUGUUCUGACGGUACCCAAAGAAUAAGCACCGGCUAACUUCGUG
rnacentral:rRNA from 1 species